CUAGAUUACUAGAUGAUCACCUCAAUUUAUUGAGGAGGAAAGUCCGGGCAGCAUAGGACAAGACAGUUGCUAACGGCAACCGGAAGCGAUUCUAGGGAAAGUGCCACAGAAACGAAACUACCUCUUAUGAGGAAAAGGUGAAACGAGUGGGGUAAGAGCCCACAGCCGACCACGGUGACGUGGAAGGAAGGUAAACCCUGUCUGCUGCAAGGAGAUGUGCUUACAUAAGGCUGUCCGCCGUGAGUGCGUUAUAAGACCCGCUUGAUCUUACUGGCAACGGUAAGACUAGAUAGAUGAUCAUCCACGACAGAACCCGGCUUAUCGGUAAUCUAGUUUA
rnacentral:RNase_P_RNA from 1 species